GUGGAGUAGGGGGUAGAUAGGGGGGUAGAGCGUGGGGUGCGAGGGUGGGGGGGAAGUAGGGGGGGUGACGUGGUGGGAGGAGGCAUGCCGGGGUGGAGGGGAAAGACCGGGGGGUAAUCCCGGAGCGGCAGUAGAUAGGGGCGGUCGGGAGUGGGGUAGGUGAGAGCGGAAGUCGUGGUGGAGCGGUGAAAUGCGCAGAUAUCAGGAGGAACACCGGUGGCGAAGGCGGAUCUCUGGGCCAUGACUGACGCUGAGGAGCGAAAGCGUGGGGAGCGAACAGGAUUAGAUAGCCCGGUAGUG
rnacentral:rRNA from 1 species